AAACUCUGCGUUGUUACAUUAUUAUUACAUUUCACAUUACAGUUCUGUUUAUUUCAGCAAAGAAAGGAGGAAAGCCAAGGAAAAAAAAGAAGUGCACAAACCUGCGAAACAAGUUCAAGUGCAGGCUUUCAAGAUCCAGAAUCUUUACGUCGAUGAUUCAGUAUCCAAAGCCCCGCUCCUCCCGGCAGGCUUUUGCUUGCCAUUACAUGGCAGAAGUUGAGGUCGUGGUCUCCAUGGGGAGAUGGGAUGAGCACCGUGAGGAGGAAACCUGAGGCUGAACACCAAUGACAGGCAGAGCAUCGCCUUCCCACCAGGUGCCACCAGCUCGCUUACACAGCGACAGUUGUGCUUGUGAUGACAACCCAUGAUCCAUGAGCCCAUACAACUCUGUAAUGAUCUUUUCUGCCCACAAGUCUUUGUGGUUUAAGGGCUGGCAAGGAUUAGCGGGUGGAGGAACUUUUAUUUAAGACUAACACACACGCUGCAUACUGAGUUUUCAACAAGAGCUUCCACUGCAGAGUGGGGUUAAAGAAUUGCACCGAAGACACCAGAAGGAGCUCAGUUUUUAUGUGGCACUGGCCAAAGGAGCUGAAAGCAGCAGGACUUCAUUAGCAGAGAAACAGCAUCAGUUGUCAGGCCACAGCAGCCAAAAACUUAAGCAUGAAGAUUGUGCCAUGACAGCAUGUGGUAAAAACCUACUGGGAAGGAAAGAAUCACACGGCUGAAACAUCACAGCCAGACACUGCUGGCGGAGGCUGUUACUGAUCCGAAGGCACAGAAUUCCCAAGCAGAAAUGGAGAUCAACUGAGAGAGGGCAUAAAAAGGACCUAAGGAAACGAAGAAGUGCGGUGGAAAGAAAAAUGAGCCUCAUAUUAAAAAGGAGCAGCAACACGUCAAAUAUCAUCGCCUGGAUCGUUCAAAACUGACAACACCAACAGAUGACUCACUGGGGGAACUGAACCCCCAACAGUUCAAAAAGAAGAAGAAAGAAAAAGCCUUUACUCUGUGGGUGCAGAGCAGCAGCUACGUGAGCCUGGAUGGAAGCAAUGGGACGACAGGGUCCGCUGGCACCGUCCUGCAGUCCAGAAUGACCGACAGCACAUCCACCUUCUGUAGCACCAUCUGGCACAGGCUUCCGUCACUUUGCCAGAGAGCACUUCCCUGUCCACAAGCUCUCUGCUGCUAAUGAGGAAGCAUCUAGCAGAAGGACAGGAACCUCGGCCGAACUCUGACAGCAUCCCAAUUUUGCUGCGAAAAGACCCAAUCGCCGAACUUUGGACAAAGAAGCACAUGUGAUCAUGAGAACAGAUCAGGCUGGGCAGGCAGAAGGAAGCUGUUCAGAGUGCUGAAAGGCAGCACACCAACAGACAGCUGCGUGCUGCCAACUGCUAAACCCUGGCAGCAGGAGAGGAAGAGAAUUAACGUAGAAGUCUUCACACGAUUCUAUCCAUUGGUAUGAAUGAUUCUGACAGUACUACCCAUUAUUAAUUGGAUUUUCUUUUAAACACCGUAAAAAGUCUGUUCUGAGCACUCCGUUCAAAUCCCGAGAUUUCAGCAAGGUGCUGCACACAGAGGUGAACAGUAUCCCUUGGCACAUUCUCUCUGGCCAGUGUGACACAGCAGGCAACAAAAUACUGUCAGCUGCAUGGAAAGAUGGGGUUGUUCAAGCCGUGUUUGCAGACCUGGCAGAUACACGGCGCUGUGCAGUGCUGGCUGCUCUACGACCCAGCAGAUCCAGCAGGGUCUGUGUCAGGUCGCUGCCCUGGGAGACAAAACUCAUCAGCUUCUUCUCUCCAAGUGUCGCAACAGGGGGGUUAGUGAUGGUGCUACGGUGGACAGAAGUGUUUCGCCACUGCCUGAUCUUCAGCCAGCCAGAGCCCUAACUGGUAGAAAAUCCUAUGUCCUUUCUUCCAGAUGGGAUCUUCAGCCAAAACAUUUUGGUUGGGAAAUGCAGAAAUCCGUAGAAAAGAGCAGCUUCCAGGAGCAAUUCCUGUUGAAUUAGUAUGGCAGCAGCAACGCAGGCAGCCAGGAAAGUCAGAACAGAGCCAGCGCCUACAGCUACGAAAGCCAAUCUUUCCAUAUGCCUGUUGGAGAUGGAAGAGAGAAAAGAUACUUGAACUUAACUGAUAGCUGAUGAGAGUGGUGUGUAACUGGAAUACAAAAUUAUCACAACUGAAAAUAA